CCUUCCACUGAAUACGCCACACACCUUCCCAUGAACAUCCCAUAUAACGUGAGAGAGGAGAGCAAAGAAUCUUGAGCAACGCAGAGCUGGAGCCAGAGCCAGGAUGGGGAGAUGAAGAUUUUCCAGCAGUGAUGGAGAAAGGAGGCUUGGAAGGCAAGUUGGGUUGGCAAGUUUGGAGGACAUCCCCGAAGGAGACAUGUGGAAGAGGCUCAGAAUGUGAACUAUAUUAGCAAUUCUCCAAUCAAGUGAGGACAAAGAAGACUCCUAGAUGUUAUGGCCAGAAGGGGCCACCGGUUUAUCUAAUCUGAUCUCCUGCAUAGCACAGGCCAGAGAUGCUCACCCGGACACCAUCAAGAUAGAGUUCCUGCCAGCAAUAGGAAGAAAGCCUUUGACUGAGGAUUCUGGGACUACACAACGGUUUCCCCUGAGCAGCCAGAAUGCCAGUGGUGAAACGUCACCAAACACAGCCUCUGCCAAC